AUCUACGGCCAUACCACGCUGAACACGCCCGAUCUUGUCUGAUCUCUGAAGCUAAGCAGGGUCGGGCCUGCUUAGUACUUGGAUGGGAAAGAAAGACAGACACCUGCAGACC
rnacentral:rRNA from 1 species